rnacentral:lncRNA from 1 species
AGAAGACUUUUGCUGUGUUUACUGUCAAUAGGGAUUAUUUCUCAAGUACGUGUAUAGAGUACAUCUUCCUUCAUCUGCUGGGGAAUAGCCAGAUGACAAAAAUUCAUUUAUAUUUGAAUAAAUGCUCUCUAUUUUUAUAACUGAUUGAUAUAGGUUGUUCACUGGAUGUGAGACUGUUGGAAAAUUCAAGAAACUGCAGUGCUUAGAAAUACUGUUAUUCAUCUUAUGAAUAUAUUAUUCAUCUUGUUAUCUUAUUCUAUGGCUUUCUUACCUUUUGUUACAAAUUUGUCUUGACAUUUUGAUCAAGUACAUGGUUUUGGUUCCCUUUGAAUAGGUUCAUUUAAAAGCUCAUAUUUCAGGGAUGGCCAGGAUGACUUUUUUUUUUUGUCCAAGAUGUUCAGAGUUGCAAUCUGUUCUUUUGGACACAGGUUUUACCAGAUGAUCCAGAUCUUUGUAACCAACUGGCUCUAUAAUGCUCUUUGUUAGAGAAUCAGUUUUGAAAUUGCCAUUUAAAUCUGGAAGAGUUAUUUAUCCACAUUAGUAACAACUUUGUGUUCCUAAGGACUGGGUAUAAUCCAUGCUAGAAGUCAUUAUUUUGGGGAAAAUAAUAUGGAGUGAGUAAAGUUGAGGAUUCUUUCUCUGAAAUAAUAAGAAAACAUAAAAUUUCACAUAUCUAAAUAUGGCUCCAGAUUUAAUUAUUAAGAAGUAACUUCAAAUUAAAUCUGUUUGUUGUAUAUCAAGGCAACUGAGAGAACCAAACAGCACACUUAAUAAGUAUAAUAGACUUGAAUAUAGGAACUCUUUAGGCAAGAAAGGAGGCAGGUUCACUUAGAUCUGGUUUUAUGUUAAAGACUUAAUUUUUGUAUUGUAACACGUUCCUGUCAGUUUUGUAUAAAACAAGGUAAUAUUUGCUCUAUAGUAGGUGUAGACUGAUUCUGUUGCCUUUUUGCUAAAAAAGAAGCCAUGAUUUGUUUUUGGUGAAGGUGGUGGGAUAGUGUUUGGUCAUUCUUUUAAUAAGAAUGGAUAAGAAGUGAAUCAUUCACUAGUGAGUAUACAUCAAACACUUCCUCUAGUGCUGAUAGAAUAAAUCCCAGAGAAUUGUCCUUUGGAAAAAACAGAAUUUAGAGUUAAGUAAUUUAGACCUAACCUGCUGAUUUGUUGAGUAGCCUUAAGCAAAUUGCUUAACCUCAGUUAUAACACACCUUAAAAUACUUAGAUAGAAGUCCGCAUGUUUAAAACAGAAUAUCAGACUAGAUUUUUAUUUGAUACAAUGCUCAGGGGAAAUUUUGAGAGCAUUAUAUAGAAUGAGAGUUUGGCACAAUAGUAUUAUUAUGGAUAUUGGAACUAAGUGAGCAUAUUCAGUAUUUAUGGUUCUCAACAUUGCAGCAGCUCUGAAUGAUGGAAAAACAUUCAUUUUUCUACAGACCUUUUUGAGUGCUGGAGAGAUGAGGUGCCAUAGAGAGAAAUGAAUAAGGCUUCUUAGCAGUCCUCCAAUUGAAGUAAAAAAGAAUCCCUUAUGUGGUAAUACAUCAGUUUGUAUCCCCAGUGGGGGAUUCAGAAAUAGUAAAAAA